AUGAAGCCCUUCGGGGUGGAUUAGUGGCGAACGGGUGAGUAACACGUGGGCAAUCUGCCCUGCACUCUGGGACAAGCCCUGGAAACGGGGUCUAAUACCGGAUACUACCUUCCCUGGCAUCUGGGUGGUUUGAAAGCUCCGGCGGUGCAGGAUGAGCCCGCGGCCUAUCAGCUUGUUGGUGAGGUAAUGGCUCACCAAGGCGACGACGGGUAGCCGGCCUGAGAGGGCGACCGGCCACACUGGGACUGAGACACGGCCCAGACUCCUACGGGAGGCAGCAGUGGGGAAUAUUGCACAAUGGGCGAAAGCCUGAUGCAGCGACGCCGCGUGAGGGAUGACGGCCUUCGGGUUGUAAACCUCUUUCAGCAGGGAAGAAGCGAAAGUGACGGUACCUGCAGAAGAAGCGCCGGCUAACUACGUGCCAGCAGCCGCGGUAAUACGUAGGGCGCAAGCGUUGUCCGGAAUUAUUGGGCGUAAAGAGCUCGUAGGCGGCUUGUCGCGUC
rnacentral:rRNA from 1 species